GCAUUCUCUGAGUCUGACCUGGAUGAUCCCAGUAACUUCACCAACAUAUCAUCCCACCAGAAGCUCGUGGCAUACAGGGACGCGGGGAAGGCUACGAAAGGGGAUGACUUUAACCCUAUCCAGGAACCUUUGGAUCCAGAGCUGGUGAUGAUAUCUGGUGGCGGGAGUGUCACGCCCAAGAUGCGACCCUAUCCUCAAUUUGGCACGAAGGCCUCGUCAGGGAUAGAAGCGCAUCUCGUCGUGUCGCAAGAAUGGAUAUCGUUACAAGUACAUCUACUGAAAAGAAGAGAUAUAUAUACAGAGUUGGCUUACACUCGCCACAAGCUACAUCAGAGUCACAUCAGUACAUUACAUCAUCAUCAAGAGUAAGAGCAGGGUCCGACUACGGACGAAAACAAACGACAAAAGAAGAACGACAUCCAUCCUUGCUAUCCCAGGCUGCCGGCCUGGAACCCAUCCUAGAUCGAUGAAGAAGAAGAAGAAGAGGCAACUCCAAAAGAACAAUCAACGCGCUCGCGUCAAGUAACCUUUACCUGUACCUGCAACUGGUGUUGUAGUAAUCUGUGAGCCAUAGGGGACUCAGCAAUCUCAUUUCCAAAGGUAUCAAGACUAGCAAAGCUUAAUGGGUAAGGUAUGGUUAAGUGGUGAGGUUGCAGCAGCGGCUAAGCAUAUAGUUGGUGGCUAACUUAUGAGUACAAGAAAUAAGAGGGGAAGAGCUACGCAUAACGGACGUGAGCUACUGAUGAUCAAAUGAAUGAUCCUGAACACCUACCCACGUCAGACAUAACCCCACCGUGUCCUCGAUCGGAGAAGGAACUCACGAAAGAGACAGUCACGGUUACGCACACAGUUGGCAAGUUUAAUUAAUUAACUUCAAGUUAUCUAGAACCAGUGUUAAACAAAGUAUCCACAUUGCCACAUAACCGCGGGCACGGCUUUCCGAAAGAUUUAACCCUGCAGGGGUGCUCCAACUAUUCCAUCACAAAUUACCACAAGCCGCAUAAAAAUCCUCAAUCACGAAGCUCGCGAUCUCGUCGGAUUUCCUAGUGGAAAACCUCAACUCUGAGAUUACCCAAAGCAUCACCGGAAUCCCGAUGCACAAGAUAUCUCGUCAAAGGUAAAACUAAUCCAGCAAGGCCGCCCGACGUGUCGACGUACCCGAUAGGAGCCGCGUAUCUCGUUCUCAGGACACGACGGAUGGAAUUAGCUACAGGUGCCAAACCUCGAGUUUCCUCGCGGUGGCCCCGCAGGCAGGCCGUUUGGGACCAACACCAUCAGCACUGGCCCCCCCUGUUUAUGUAAAAUUACUCCUCGGGUAGCGCUAACUCCCUAUGCAUUUCAAUAUUAUCAAGUUAUUAUGUUGGGCAAAUGUAGAACCAAAGUUGGGCCUUGCCAGACCAGCUUUAAUCUAAAACGAAUUAUCAAGGGGGUCCCCAUAACAACCCCGAUCGUGUUAGGAGCGCUCGAUUAUGGAACAUAACACCGGUAGCCGAAACUAAGGGGGCAAAGGUGGAACAAAACACCAGGCUAGAAAGGCCGAGCCUUCCACCUUUUACCAAGUAUAUAGGUGCAUUAAAUUAAAUAGCAUUUAAUAGGGUGAUAUAACAAGGAACCCAUGCUUUCACAUGGAAGCAACUGCACCUGCAACUAGCAACGCUAUCAACAGGGUUAAGCAAGCAGUAACAUAGCCAAUCAGUGGUUUGCUAGGUUGAACAGGUUGAGGGUUUCAUGGCAUUGUUGAGAGGCUGAUAUUUAACAGGUGGUAGGCAACGAGACAUAGACGAUAGAAGCGAUAAACUAGCAUGGCAAUGAUAGUAAUGGUAUCUGGGGAAAUGAUCAUCUUGCCUGAGAUCCCGCUUGGAAGAAGAAUGCCUCCGUGAAGCAGACGAACCGACGUAGUCGAACGAGUCCUCACAAUCCGGCACGCUUGCGGAACUCUAUCGAGACGGAGGAAACCGGAAACAAGCAUCAACACACGAUAUACACCACACGAUGCAAGACACACAUGAUACAUGAACGGUCUAAUGCACGGCAUGGCAAUCACAACAAUCAAACAUUACACAUUAAGUGAAGCUCGAUAUGCAACGAGUUGUAUAUCGACGAAGCUCCACGUUUAAUUAUUUAGUUCAUUCCCGUUUAUUAACACAUCAAUAUUAAAAAGUUGUUAACAUGACACGGGGUGAAGCACAAAUUAAUCUGCCUAGCUAGGCAUUUUAAAUGAGACCGGGGUGAAGAACAAAUUAAUCUACCUAGCUAGGCAUUUUAAAUGAGACCGGAAACGGCAUAUAGCAUCUCCGAAAUGACCCCACGUGUUAAAACUUAAUUCUGUCCAGAUUUGUCCUAAUCACAUUUUAGGUUUGUUAAACAACGAAACAAAGUGGAGCAUGAGAUUCUACACGUCGUUCUACUCGAUUUACAUAUAUAGAACAUCUCCAACGGAGCUACGGUUAAAUAACUACGACCUAAACCGUUUUCAACACAUCGACACGUAAACCGACACAAACAGCGUGCUAACAGCCUUAAACAUGCAUGAGAGUUGUAAAUUGUUAAUCUACGCAAAAUUCUAGUCAAGUUUCAUAUAUAACUUGUCUCGAUCCGGUACACGGUCUAAAAGCUACGGGUGUUAGAAAAUCGAUGUUUUUUUCUCUGAAAUUCACAAAAUCCUAGUGCAGAAGAAAAAAAAAAGAAGAAACAAAAAUGGGACAAUCUGGGAUUCGAUCCCAAUUGCCCUUGCAUAAGAGUUGGCUGCGCUAGCCACCUUUGCUAGCACUCUAUUGUGAUAUAGCACAGGAUUCUUCCGAAAAGAAGUAGCAGCACCAUGGCGCAUGCACAUCAACAAGAAAAAAAUAUCCAGUGGUGGGAUUCGAACCCCAGACCUAAGCGUCUUGGUUCACAUUGUUUACCAGCUGGGCUAGGUGGUGGCUUGUGAAUAGAUUGGAUUCCAUCCUAAAUGAGCAUACCAUACUCUGAACCUGAUCCUAAACGAACUGAAACUGAAACGGGACUAUGUCUGAACCUAUCUGUAACUGGUUCGGCCAUGGCUGUUCCACACGGGAUCAACGUCGAUCCGGAGGGACUUGGAGGCUUCGACGGGGCUAACGGAGGCCGGGAAUGGGCGGAUCUAGCGAGCAUCGACCGGAUCCGUUGGAGAACGACGCGAGACGGAGAGCUGCAGGGCGGAGAAGCCAUCCAUGACGGGGCUGCAGCGCCUUCAUUCAGUCCCGACAUGGGGAAACAACAGAGAGGAGAAGGAUUAGAGAAGAGGGAAGGAGGGGGAGGAAGGAAGAAGGGGUUCUCUGAGGUUACCGGCGAGUGGGCACCAACGGAGCUGGGUGGAUCCGGCCCAGAUCAAAGAUGCGGAGGCGUUGGCCACUUGCUGUAACUGCAGCUUCAGGCGCUAUGGAUCUCCCUGCAGAAAAACGAGAGGAAGGGAGAGAGAUGAGAGGAAGCAAAGAGAAACAUGGGAGGAGAAGAAGAGGCGCGACGGCCUGGCCUGGUUGCUGGCUGCGGGGCUGAUUGCUCCGAUAGCUUCGGCGCCAGAGGAGAAAUUGCGGGGCCGGCGGGUAGCUUCGGGCGAGGAGGUAGCAGCGCCGAUCCAAACUAGAUCGAACGCUGGCUAUGGAUAGCUUCACACGCACGGACGCGGGGCCUGUGGCGGUUGGACGCGUCCAGGGAACAAAGGGACGAGUGGAAGGGAUGGAAUCGCGAGGAAGCUUGCUGGUUGGGCUUGGGAUGAAACCGAGGUGGGUUGGAUCAGAUCCCAAGGAAGAAGAGGCUGGCGGCGCAACACGGAAUGGGAGGAUGGGACAGAUCAGGCCUAGGGUUUACGGCAUAUAGAUAACAUGUUUGGAUGGGUUUAGACCCUCCGAUCUUCAUCGGACGGUCGGGAUUAAAUAGGUUAGGGUGUCCAAUGAACAAACUGAUGACUGUUUACGGUAAAACGGGG
rnacentral:lncRNA from 1 species